UACGUAGGGGCCUAGCGUUGUCCGGAUUUAUUGGGCGUAAAGAGCUCGUAGGCGGCUUGUCGCGUCGACUGUGAAAUCUCAGGGCUCAACUCUGACAUUGCAGUCGAUACGGGCAGGCUAGAGUUCGGUAGGGGAGACUGGAAUUCCUGGUGUAGCGGUGAAAUGCGCAGAUAUCAGGAAGAACACCCGUGGCGAAGGCGGUUCUCUGGGACGGUACUGACGCUGAGACGCGAAAGCGUGGGGAGCGAACAGG
rnacentral:rRNA from 1 species